GAUUGUUACUUGCCAUGAUAGGUCCUAGGCAGGAAGGACAUCGCAGUGACAUUGGUUAAAGGAGUCCCAGAAGCCCGGAGUGGGACAGACAGCGACUGCUUUGAGUCCGUCCGCGCUCCUUCCUCCCGUGCAGCCGUUGGAGCAGCUACCUCAGAUACUGCUCAGCACCAGCAACAACGACAACAUGCUUUUGGAGCGAAUCAAGGAAACACGGGUCCCAGUUUGGUCCUGGUCAGUGCCGCUGUGGUCUGCCUGCUAGGCCUACUGAUGCCCACAGAAGGUGACCAGACCCCAACACGCAUCCCACAGUACCUCCACCUCAAUGCCAACAUUAAAAUUGUGCUCGCCUAUGUGCUCGGUCUUUUAACGUAUGCCAUCUUGCGAGUGGGGUGACUGCAACGAAGACAAAGAGAAGAAAAUCAGAAAAAAACUAUUCCCUAUGGAAGUGAAAGCUCUACGAUUUUUUGUAAUUUCAAAGAUGAUAAUUUACCAUGUCUUGGCAUCUUAGAACAUACACUAAUAUCUCUGUCAGGGAGGAGGGGAUGCAUGAACAAUUUUCAGAUCUUUUAUCCAGCAACAUGACUUCAAUUUUUUUCUAUGCUUGAAUUGAUGUCCUUUGUCCUUGGAUACAAUUUUCUUCUUUCAUUAUCAUGGCCUUGCAUUGCUUGUGUGUUCAUCCCGUCUCUAAGGGUAGACAUAGCUUUAAGUAAAUCUUUACUUUGGGAGAGUAGGAGAGAACCAACAGCUGUGAGGAUAGAAUAAUAUGAAUAUGUAAAGUGUCAUGUUGUAAAUAAGAUAGGAGUCAAAGUUUCCUUCUCAUUUCCCCCAUUGCAGCUAACGUGACUCAUGAAUGCUUUGUACUAGGGCUGGGAGGAUGUAAAAGAACUAGGCUGUACUUUUUUAGUUUUGAGAUGCAGGAGAUAGUUUGCACAUUAAAGAUCAGGCACUUACAAAUAUGGAAAUAAGCAAGGAAGAAAAGAUUAGAUAUUAGAGGGCAAAGACAGAAAGAUCAUUAUAGAUAGAGAGGCUUUUUCCAUGCAUACCAUUACAGUUAGAAACAGAAGGAAGGAAUGCAACAUAUAUUUUAGAACACCAGAUGGAGUCAACAAAGGGGUAACAGGUGAAGAAGUAAAGAUAAAAUGGAUAAAUAAUAUACAUGUAUACAUGUUCCUUUGUAUAUGUAUUCUCGAAGCUCAUUUUUUGUACGAAACUAAAUGUAAUUUUUCUUUUUUCCACAAUAUUUUUUCAUUGUCACAAUACUAGGCUAGAUGUGAUAUGCUUAAGAAAUCGAUUGUGUUCAUUGCUACACCAGGCUUGUAUUCUAAGCUAUUUGAAUUUUUUAUAUACAUAUGUAUAAAUGGAUAUGUAAAGUCCAUAUGAAAACUUGCCAUAAACACAUUUUACAAAGAGAAGAAGAAAAAGUUUUAUAGCUAUUUAAAAUAAUCUUGUGCUGUAGUUUGAUGAUAAAAGUAUUUGAUAUUGCA